rnacentral:rRNA from 1 species
GCGAUCAGGAUGGAGCAGAGGGUAGAGGUCAGCGUCGGCGGCGGUGUGGACCGCUGGGGGCGCGUCGUGUGGGUGCGGCGGCCUGUCGGGGCGGCGGGUAUGGACGGCAGGGGAAGCGGUGGGUAGGGGCGGAGCGGGGCGGGCGGCGGAGGGGAAGUGCGACCGCGCGCGAGCGGAGCGGACGUGGCCCGAUGAACACUAGACCUGCGGCAGCUACUAGACCUGGUUUUCCACGAGUAAGAGUAUAAAGUGUGCAUGUACCGGCGGCCUUCCCACCUUCUUAGCUGUUACAAUUCUAAAAGUACGUGCUCUUCGUUGUUAAUUACCACUUUCCUCCUCCUUCUACUGCCUGCCACUACCUUCGACGUCCGCUACUCGAUCGUCGCUCCCUGUGUCUCCUGUGGUUCGUCUGGAAGCCCUAUCUCUGUGUAAAUAGUCCUAACAGAAGCACAUCGCCCACUACCUAUUACUCCCUACCCUGGAGCCGAACUGCGAGAAGUUCUAACAGCAAAAUAAACCCUCGGACGGGAAGAUAGCGGUGGUCUGCCGUGUGUUCUAGUCGAAUCCUACGAACAUGGUGGUUAAACUACCGAAAGUUGGUUUAACACGAUUGAGACCGCACUCUUGCCAUUGUAUAUACAAAAGGAGAUCCGCAGUAUCGUAACACCUAAACGUAGUAAUGAAGUCGUCCGAUCGACCUACACUAGACCUGUAUCCACUAAAACUCGGUUGUGGUCGGAAUUUUCAUACAGAGACAAAAGAGAGUACGAAGAUGAUACUACGGGGCGUAGUACACAAACAAUUUUACGAAUUGUUUAGACUUCAUUCAAGUACGGUCGGUGUACGAACGAUGCUACGGAGAGUAUCUAGAGAUUAUGAUUGGACGUACGGUUUGAAUGAGAGCAAUAAUCCGUUCUGAUCUAACCUACCUAUAUUGAUUAGAUUAUAUAAAAGCUUACACUAGUACCUACGUAAAUUACAACUUAUUAUAGAGGAUGUAGCAUUAACUUCCAUUCAUCCAUUAUCAUUAAAAAGUAUAUAACAAACAAGAUCCAUGACGUGAUUACAAAGAUGUCCUUUGUAAAAUGGACUGUAUACAAAUGUCCAUGUGCGUGAAAUCUUCGGUGUUUGGUCAGGUUGAGUACAGACUACUAAACCAUCUCGACAGCAUUGGUACCUUGACCGAAGUAAAUAACUAUUCUAAUACAAGUAACUAGGGUUCUGAUACGAGUACCCUGUUCCUAAUUCCUUCCAGCGGUACCCUACUAAAUGUUCCUUAACGGUCACAAUGCACUCUUCCGGGUUCCGACCUUAGUUGUCAUCGUUCAAUAACAAAGGGCACUUCGGAAAACAAAAAUAAUUAAUGUAAUCUAGUACUGAAGAAAGACCUAGUUAUUAAUAACCUACCAUUAAUAUAGAUGGUCAAAUCGAACCUUUGUAGAUUUCAAAGUAUCGUCACUUCCCCUCUCGUUCGCUGAUUGGUUGUGAUUACGCAUUUUACAUUUCUCUUUUCGUACUACCCCUUCCUAAUUGAAAGUAAGUUCUCCACCGGUAACUCAACCCGUCUACUUCAACACCUUGUUGAAUUCGACGUGUCCAUAUGGUACGGCGGUGGCGAUCCCUCGAGAACCAACGUGACGUUCGACGUCCGGAACAGUUGAACGAGCACAGUGAAUUCGCGGUAUUGAAGCGGGGCGAGUUCUACCUAUCAAAAGACGUCCGGGGAGUAGCUGCCGCCCACUGGAGGCGCAGUUAGACGGCCUCGGGGGAGAAGAAGCUGAGGCGGUUGGCACGUCGGUGUGGCAGCUAGAGGAGGUGGAACACCAACUAAACGAUGAUUAGAAAGACGUGAUUGAUACCUGGUUUAACCAACAUAGUCCCACCUAUCACUAUUAAACUUGUUAGACUUCCAGCUAUCCACCAACGUGUCCGUGCGUAAACGGUGCCACAGAGGGCGCCUUUAGAUUCCAAGUUCGGGUAGUUUUGACGUUUUUUAACCAAUGUCUUAAUGUACUCCUACAUCCUACCUCGGCAGGAAUCUUCUUAACAGAUUUCUUGUCUUUUCAUCAUUGUGGUACAGAAAAAGUUCAGGUUUAGUCGUAACGUUACGCGACUGAUAGGCGGGUACAAGGAAUAACCUUGGAAACUAUUAAUACUCAUCAGAAAAUUUAUACACAGGUACACAACAUCACUUAAACAUGUUGCGUUCAGUGGUAUUCAGCUACAUAUCGUGUUACUUUGUUUUCUUCAAAUUGGCUCCCCCAGUACAAUUGCAAGUUUUUCUUAGGUCGUUGCUCCCGGGGUUCCGCUACACAAACUUCCCCGGUUUUUAGGUGGCUCAUAAUUCACAUACAUUAGUCUUCCUUUUUUAAUUUUCCGGGCAUCGGCUUUCUUUUUGUUAAACCAAUACU